rnacentral:rRNA from 1 species
GAGUUUGAUCCUGGCUCAGGAUGAACGCUAGCGGCAGGCUUAACACAUGCAAGUCGAACGGUAACAUGAGAGCUUGCUCUUGAUGACGAGUGGCGCACGGGUGCGUAACGCGUAUGCAACUUACCUCUAACAAAGGAAUAGCCCAUAGAAAUGUGGAUAAAACCUUAUAAUAUAUUAGAUUGGCCUCAAUUUGAUAUUAAAACUACGGUGGUUAGAGAUAGGCAUGCGUCCCAUUAGCUAGUUGGUAAGGUAACGGCUUACCAAGGCAACGAUGGGUAGGGGGCCUGAGAGGGUGACCCCCCACACUGGUACUGAGACACGGACCAGACUCCUACGGGAGGCAGCAGUGAGGAAUAUUGGACAAUGGAGGUAACUCUGAUCCAGCCAUGCCGCGUGCAGGAAGACGGCCCUAUGGGUUGUAAACUGCUUUUAUAUAGGAAGAAACCAUCUCUCGUGAGAGAUAUUGACGGUACUAUAAGAAUAAGGACCGGCUAACUCCGUGCCAGCAGCCGCGGUAAUACGGAGGGUCCGAGCGUUAAUCGGAAUUAUUGGGUUUAAAUGGUCCGUAGGCGGGAAUCUAAGUCAGUGGUGAAAUCUUGCAGCUCAACUGUAAAAUUGCCAUUGAUACUGGAUUUCUUGAAUUAGUGUUAAGUGAUUAGAAUGUGUAGUGUAGCGGUGAAAUGCAUAGAUAUUACACAGAAUACCACUUGCGAAGGCAAGAUCACUAACACUAUAUUGACGCUGAGGGACGAAGGCGUGGGGAGCGAACAGGAUUAGAUACCCUGGUAGUCCACGCCGUAAACGAUGGAUACUAGCUGUCCGGAUUCGGACUGAGUGACUAAGCGAAAGUGAUAAGUAUCCCACCUGGGGAGUACGUUCGCAAGAAUGAAACUCAAAGGAAUUGACGGGGGCCCGCACAAGCGGUGGAGCAUGUGGUUUAAUUCGAUCAUACGCGAGGAACCUUACCAGGGCUUAAAUGUAUAUUGACAGGGGUAGAAAUACCUUUUCCUUCGGGCAAUUUACAAGGUGCUGCAUGGUUGUCGUCAGCUCGAGCCGUGAGGUGUCAGGUUCAGUCCUAUAACGAGCGCAACCCCUGUUGUUAGUUGCCAGCGAGUAAUGUCGGGAACUCUAACAAGACUGCCAGUGCAAACUGUGAGGAAGGUGGGGAUGACGUCAAAUCAUCACGGCCCUUACGUCCUGGGCCACACACGUGCUACAAUGGCCGGUACAGAGAGCAGCCACUACGCGAGUAGGAGCGAAUCUUCAAAACCGGUCUCAGUUCGGAUCGGAGUCUGCAACUCGACUCCGUGAAGCUGGAAUCGCUAGUAAUCGCAUAUCAGCCAUGAUGCGGUGAAUACGUUCCCGGGCCUUGUACACACCCCCGUCACACCAUGGGAGUUGGUUCUACCCGACGACGCUG